GCCUAAGAGUAACAAGGCAACAAACCAACACAAGUUGCUCGCCAAACCACUACGAGUGAAAACUUAAAACUUAAAAGACUUGACGGUACUUCACCCAACCUAGAGGAGCCUGUCUAAUAACCGAUAACCCACGAUCAACCCAACCGCCACUAGCCACUCAGCCUAUAUACCGCCGUCGCCAGCCCACCUUGUGAAAGAAACCAAGUGGGCACAAUAGUCCCACACUAACACGACAGGUCGAGGUGUAGCUUAUGGGGCGGACAAGGAUGGGCUACAUUAUCUAAACCAGAUAAAACGGAAAAAGCCGUGAAAACCAAGCCUUAUGAAGGAGGAUUUAGCAGUAAGAUGAGGACAUAAUACUCAACUGAAAACAAAGAAAUGAAGUGCGU
rnacentral:rRNA from 1 species